UUAUUGGCCCAUUCAUUGGCGCAGGUAUAUAAACUGUCCUCAUGGACUCAAGCAUCCAUUUCCCCCCUCGCCGGCAUCGAGCUUGUUGUUUUGUUUUGUUUCGUUUCCACCAGGACAUACUCCACCAAGUGUCCGUACUUAGACUCCCCACCAUCAGAUCAUGUUGUCAACAUUAGCUCGUAUUACCUUGACAGUAUUGUUGGUAUCAGUAGUGGUGCUACCAUCCCACGGCAACUUUUAUGGGAAAAGGGGAGACAAAGAUGAUUUGUACAGCGCCAUCUUGCAGGCUGCCGAGUCACCCAGCAGACGAGAUUUAACAGCAGAUUUCGAUACAGAGUCAGCUAUUGAAAGUGUAUUGAGGAUGGCGAGACAACAAGAAUCUAAAUUUACUGAAACAAAACGUGGUUGAUGUAAAACAAGAAAAUCAAGAGAAAUUCGGAAGUAAUAUAGUGUUGAAAUUUUAUAUCUACUGAAUGAAAUAAAUGCACAGGGACAUUUGUAAUAUAUAUUUACUCUGUAUUUAAUUCUUUGUCAUUUGUUGUAUGUAGAAAAACUUGGACAGAAGAUUAGAUUCGUAAUUUUUUUUUAACAUUUAUUAUUUUAUCUUUCAGUAAAAAGUUGGCUAGAAAUAAACAUACAUCUAAAUUAUUUAAUAUCCGUUAUUAGAAACCUUUUGUUAAUAUUAAUAUGAUAUUUUACUUCGAGAUGCGAUUCUAAUAUCCCGUUAAAUCUGUGUAAAAUAGCCUGGUGUUUUAGCAUUAUUAAAAGGGGAAAUAAUUGCAUAAAUUUUUUAAACCUGUACAUUUGAUUCUGCUAUACAAAUGUAUGCUUUACCCCAUGUAUUAAAGACUUCUAUUAAUUACAUCAAUUCUUAAACUUAGACGAGCAGCUGCUGUAUAUUAUUGUAACCAUACUACAUUGAAUUUUUUAGAUCACUAGUGGUGUAACAUACACAAACUACAACCCAAUUUGUUAUAGAAAAGAAAGAAAAUAUCCUCUUACAAAUAAUUGCAGAGCUGUAUGGAUAUAAUAGAAGCGUCAAUGAUGAACAACAAAUUUUAAAACAAAACAGAUGUACUUUUGUAGUUUAAUUUAAAGAUACUUUUGUAGUUGAACAUAGACCAGCUAGACUAUAUCUUGUAGGUUGCUACUUGUAGCCUUUCUAGUGCAAGCUUCUAUACACUUCAAUAAUAUUAUAUUCAAAGAAGUUCAUGCAAAGCAAUAGAAGUGAAAGUCUAGGAGUCUUAAUUUUUUUUUAUUAACUGAUUCAUUAAAUGUUGCUUUAUUUGCAAUGAUCAACACAUUUGUUCCGUGAUGAUCAAAGGGAAAUAAGUCAUCUUUAUAAAACUAUAGAAAGGGAUAUAAAUCAAAAUAAAUUAAAGAAUCAACAAUUUUAAGUUGUCUCAAACUUUCUUUGGGUUGAAUGAAUGUACAGAGAUAAAUAUAAUUUAGAAAAAUGAUUCUAUAAAGUGUAGAAUUGUAUGUCCUUUUUAUGUACUAGAUUUGAAUCUUGAGAGUGGUUAUAAAAUUUCAAUAAAAUAUUUUGUCUUCUUUCA